GAUGAACGCUGACAGAAUGCUUAACGCAUGCAAGUCUUUGGCGAAGCUGUGCUUGCACAGCCUAGCCAAGGCGGACGGGUGAGUAACGCGUAAGGAACUUGCCCUGCAGUCAGGGAUAACAGACGGAAACGACUGAUAAGACCUGGUAAAGUCAGGCGGACUCAUGUCCAGCCUGAUGAAAAGAGAUGCUGCAGGAGAGCCUUGCGUCCUAUUAGCUUGUUGGUGGGGUAACGGCCCACCAAGGCGAUGAUAGGUAGCCGGCCUGAGAGGGUGGACGGCCACAAGGGGACUGAGAUACGGCCCUGACUCCUACGGGAGGCAGCAGUGGGGAAUAUUGGACAAUGGGGGCAACCCUGAUCCAGCAAUUCUGUGUGCACGAUGAAGGUUUUCGGAGUGUAAAGUGCUUUCAGCAGGGAAGAAAAAAAUGACGGUACCUGCAGAAGAAGCGACGGCUAAAUACGUG
rnacentral:rRNA from 1 species